rnacentral:rRNA from 1 species
CCUACGGGGAGCAGCAGUGAGGAAUAUUGGUCAAUGGACGAGAGUCUGAACCAGCCAAGUAGCGUGAAGGAUGAAUGCCCUAUGGGUUGUAAACUUCUUUUAUAUGGGAAUAAAAUGUUCCACGUGUGGGAUUUAGUAUGUACCAUAUGAAUAAGGAUCGGCUAAAUCCGUGCCAGCAGCCGCGGUAAUACGGAGGAUCCGAGCGUUAUCCGGAUUUAUUGGGGUUAAAGGGAGCGUAGGGGGAUUGUUAAGUCAGUUGUGAAAGUUUGCGGCUCAAACGUAAAAUUGCAGUUGAAACUGGCAGUCUUGAGUACAGUAGAGGUGGGCGGAAUUCGUGGUGUAGCGGUGAAAUGCUUAGAUAUUACGAAGAACUCCGAUGGCGAAGGCAGCUCACUGGACUGCAACUGACACUGAGGCUCGAAAGUGUGGGUAGCAAACAGGAUUAGAUACCCGAGUAGUC